AUCUCACAUCGUUGAAGGUCGACCUUUGAAGUCAUCGCGAAUCUCUAAUGUCUCGAAGAAAUUCGCUGCGGGCAACUCGAAUCUGUCGAGCAAGUUAACGACAGAAGAUCAUUCUUUGGAUGCAUUUCGGCCUACCAACCCUGGGAACAGUCCAGGAAUUGGUCACUAGCAUGUGUGUUGUGGUGACAAACUAAGAUAAGAUGCAAUGGUUAUGUACUUAUGUUCUUAGACAUUUUCUUAUGACAAAGUAAGAUGUUGUUGUGGGUGCGUUCGACGUGUAUUAUCUAGGGUUUCUGUGUUUUUCGUAAUUGUUUGUA